UUUGUAAAACGUAGAGAUUGGUGCAAGGUACCGUAACGUUGAUACCCAUUUUACGCUGUAUGCAGUAGUGGCGAUGAAAAAUCCUUUGGGAUUCACGGGAGGAAGCUCUGGUUUCAAACACUAAUAAAGCCAGCAUAAAGCAGCUAGCCCAUCGUCUUAACAAAGAGUGUGACUCUUACGUGAGAUCACUUGAGAUUUCAAGGGAAAUUGAAGACCAAAAUAAUGAGAACGCUUGGACCAUGAUAGAUAUGCCUAUUGCCUACCCGUGAACUGGAAAUGCAACACCAGUGUCUUCAAUGGCCCAGCCCUUUCUAAAUGAGGACGCUGACUUCAAUUUAUGUCCACCAUUGAAGAAAAAUGAGAACCUCUUGAUUGAACUUCAAACAAAUAUGCCAAGUAGUGGCGAUGAAAGUCCCUUGGGAGGCACGAGAGGAAGUGCUGCUUUUUUGCAAACGCUAAACAAGCAUGUGUCUUACUGUUUUGGUUCAUCAAAAUAAUGUAGGCUCGGCUGCGGUUCUCAGAGAUCAAGACUGGAAUGCCGUUGGCCAAAGAGGAGAGUUUUGAACAAGUUGUGAUAGAGGGUAUAACGCUUCUUGCAUUGUCGAUCUGCUGGUACCUACAGACUACAAUGUUAUAGGCCAAGCCACAUUCAUGUUCACUUAUUUUGCUGUCUCGUGGGUUUAUCCAGAAUAAGAAUAAUCAUCACAUUGUGCUCUGUAUUGUUUGUUGAGGUGAAUCUUAUAGUUCAUUGGAUGCAUUAUUGCUCUUAUUUGAGAAUAUGAUUGGGGGAUCCCUCUCCUGAAAAUUUUAUAAUUUUUUUUUCAGGCUUGUAUUAUGUACAAAUUCUAGAUUAUGUGUG